rnacentral:rRNA from 1 species
UACGAAGGGUGCAAGCGUUACUCGGAAUUACUGGGCGUAAAGCGUGCGUAGGUGGUUUUUUAAGUCCGUUGUGAAAGCCCUGGGCUCAACCUGGGAAUGGCAGUGGAUACUGGAAAGCUAGAGUGCGGUAGAGGGUAGUGGAAUUCCCGGUGUAGCAGUGAAAUGCGUAGAGAUCGGGAGGAACACCAGUGGCGAAGGCGGCUACCCUGGACCAGCACUGACACUGAGGCACA